rnacentral:rRNA from 1 species
UACAGAGGUCCCAAGCGUUGUUCGGAUUCACUGGGCGUAAAGGGUGCGUAGGCGGUCGGGUAAGUCUGAUGUGAAAUCUCACAGCUUAACUGUGAAACUGCAUUGGAUACUAUUCGGCUUGAGAGUUGGAGGGGGGACUGGAAUUCUCGGUGUAGCAGUGAAAUGCGUAGAUAUCGAGAGGAACACCAGUGGCGAAGGCGGCUACCUGGACCGGUUCUGACGCUGAGGCGCGAAAGCGAUGGGUAGCAAACGAGGA